rnacentral:rRNA from 1 species
AUUGAACGCUGGCGGCAGGCCUAACACAUGCAAGUCGAACGAGUGGCGGACGGGUGAGUAAUGUCUGGGAAAAGGCCUGAUGGAGGGGGAUAACUACUGGAAACGGUAGCUAAUACCGCAUACCAUCAGAUGUGCCCAGAUGGGAUUAGCUUGUUGGUGGGGUAACGGCUCACAAAGGCGACGAUCCCUAGCGGGUCUGAGAGGAUGACCAGCCAACCUGGAACUGGAAAACGGUCCAGACUCCUACGGGAGGCAGCAGUGGGGAAUAUUGCACAAUGGGCGCAAGCCUGAUGCAGCCAUGCGGCGUGUAGGAAGAGGGCCUUCGGGUUGUAAAGUACUUUCAGCGGGGAGGCGUUACCCGCAGAAGAAGCACCGGCUAACUCCGUGCCAGCCGCCGCGGUAAUUC